rnacentral:misc_RNA from 1 species
UCAACCAUCAAGCCCGGCUUGUUAUUGGGCACCUAUCGCUCUUAGGAGUGAUUGGCCCGAAAGAUAAUGGCGGUGUCAAGAUUAGACCCCAGGUGCAGCGAGCUCUAAGCAUACACUGAGGUGGUCGUUUUGGCCCAGCUUUUAACUAUUGAAUUUUUCAA